AGAGUUUGAUCAUGGCUCAGAUUGAACGCUGGCGGCAUGCUUUACACAUGCAAGUCGAGGGCAGCGCGGGGGCAACCCUGGCGGCGAGCGGCGAACGGGUGAGUAACACAUCGGAACGUGUCCCGUAGUGGGGGAUAGCCCGGCGAAAGCCGGAUUAAUACCGCAUAUGCUCUACGGAGGAAAGCGGGGGAUUCGCAAGAACCUCGCGCUAUGGGAGCGGCCGAUGUCCGAUUAGCUUGUUGGUGAGGUAAAGGCUCACCAAGGCGACGAUCGGUAGCUGGUCUGAGAGGAUGAUCAGCCACACUGGGACUGAGACACGGCCCAGACUCCUACGGGAGGCAGCAGUGGGGAAUUUUGGACAAUGGGGGCAACCCUGAUCCAGCCAUGCCGCGUGAGUGAAGAAGGCCUUCGGGUUGUAAAGCUCUUUUGGCCGGAAAGAAAAGAUCUCGUCUAAUAAACGAGGUUCUUGACGGUACCGGCAGAAUAAGCACCGGCUAACUACGUGCCAGCAGCCGCGGUAAUACGUAGGGUGCGAGCGUUAAUCGGAAUUACUGGGCGUAAAGAGUGCGUAGGCGGUUCUUUGUGUCCGCUGUGAAAUCCCCGGGCUUAACCUGGGAAUGGCAGUGGAAACUAGAGGACUUGAAUCCGGCAGAGGGGGGUGGAAUGCCACGUGUAGCGGUGAAAUGCGUAGAUAUGUGGCGGAACACCGAUGGCGAAGGNNNNNCCCUGGGCUGAGAUUGACGCUCAGGCACGAAAGCGUGGGGAGCAAACAGGAUUAGAUACCCNNGUAGUCC
rnacentral:rRNA from 1 species